rnacentral:rRNA from 1 species
UACGUAGGGUGCGAGCGUUGUCCGGAAUUAUUGGGCGUAAAGAGCUCGUAGGCGGUUUGUUGCGUCGGCUGUGAAAUCCCGAGGCCCAACCUCGGGUCUGCAGUCGAUACGAGCAAACUAGAGUGUUGCAGGGGAGACUGGAAUUCCUGGUGUAGCGGUGAAAUGCGCAGAUAUCAGGAGGAACACCGGUGGCGAAGGCGGGCCUCUGGGCCGUAACUGACGCUGAGGAGCGAAAGCAUGGGGAGCGAACAGG